CAGUAGCCGCGGGAAUACGUAGGGUGCGAGCGUUGUCCGGAAUUACUGGGCGUAAAGAGCUCGUAGGCGGUUUGUCGCGUCGUCUGUGAAAUUCUGCAGCUUAACUGUAGGCGUGCAGGCGAUACGGGCAGACUUGAGUACUACAGGGGAGACUGGAAUUCCUGGUGUAGCGGUGAAAUGCGCAGAUAUCAGGAGGAACACCGGUGGCGAAGGCGGGUCUCUGGGUAGUAACUGACGCUGAGGAGCGAAAGCGUGGGUAGCGAACAGGAUUAGAUACCCGCGUAGUCCCUGUCUCUUAUAC
rnacentral:rRNA from 1 species